rfam:Cryptococcus bestiolae CBS 10118 unplaced genomic scaffold supercont1.1, whole genome shotgun sequence.
GUCUACGGUCAUAGGAGCCAUGAAACAUCGCAUCCCGUCAGCUCUGCCCAAUUAAGUUGGCUAUCGCUCGGUCAGUACCAAAGUGGGGGACCAUUUGGAAUUCCCGAGUGCUGUAGUUU